rnacentral:misc_RNA from 1 species
CGCGGCAGACUGUCAUGGGGUCGCCUUGUUCAUUCUCCCUMCCGUCUGGCGGGAAAUUUCGCCUGGGAGGGAAGUGCGUAGUCGGCUUUGUCUGUGCGGUUCUAUCCAAGCUGGGAAACAAGAUCGGUCCCAUGAUGCGUGUUUUCUGCUUGCCCUDUUGAUAAUUUUAUUGUCUCCAGGGCAACCGAAUUGUUGGUGAAACCCUUGUGCAUCCCACGGCGUUUUUGCCGUGGCACCGCACGCGGGUGUUGUCGGCUCUUACGGAUGCUGUGUCCACGAUVAGUUCUGUAGGCCACUGGUCCACAGGCUUUGAAAGGUCCCUUGUACGGAUCAUUAGUCCGUCGAUCGCCCGUCAUGUUGGUUCUGCCUUCAUGCCGGAGCGGUGCGUGGGUUGCCUCUCUGACCGAAUGAGCAGCGAUUGUCGGCUAGUGUUGUCAAAUGGGCCUCCUCUCCGGGGCGGKUCSKKAMASAAMSWRCCKRCYCWCKYUYAAKAMRURC